AUCCUUUCCUUGGCAGCCUGUUCUCCCUGUGAAGUGAAAGGGUUGGGACUGCCUGCCAAGCGUCUGAAGACUUCAGAACGGUACUUAGGAGAUUGCACCUCAAGAUGGAAGCAGUGCAAAAGCCUUUUCCCUGCAUCCCACGUCACAGAUCCUGAAAUCACACUGUUCUUCCUGGUUUUGUACAGUGACCACGGCUCCUGCCACGGGAACCAGCCCCUCUGCUCAGAGCCACAGAAGGAGAUGUCUGCAAGGAGCAAGAGAUGGGAAUUUCCCUAGGUGUUUGUCAGCAUGGGAGAUUAUCUCCUAACCCUCAUGCCACCUUUGUUUGACACAUAAGAAGCACUGGAGGGAUGGGUGAGACAAGAACAUGGGCAGCCUAACACAUGGCUGGCACUGUGUGAUACUGUCAGCUUUCCCGAGCCACAGCUGUACUUCCAAACUGCUUUCUUCUUCAAAAAGAGAAGAGCAGUGGAUGGACGUUUUUUUCCCCAGCUUUUUGCAAUAUCUCAAUUUGUCCACUGUGUACGCACAGAUCAAUUCCAGAGAAUGAAACCAACAUGAACUCGUAACAUUGCCGGGCUUUUAAACAACAACAAGACCACAAUCAACAGCAAAUCUGAGCAGAACACCAAAUUUCUGAUAGUUUUGUAUUGACAUUUUCAUGAAGCAGGAAUUGAUCAUAUCUCAGCUCUGGAGUUGAGGUCUUUGAAAAAUCUAGCCAUUAGUUUGCAAUAAAAAGGUGGGAUAUGGGCACAGAUGAUGCCCCACUUGCAAACACCUCCCUGGAAGCUCCUGCCCAAAUGCAGUUCUCGUCCAGCAUUGCUUUGUAUAAAAUGAUUUUUCACUUGGUUCUCUCUCUGCUGUUUGCUUUAUGUGUCUGUUAAUACAUAAUCCUGCUCUUU
rnacentral:lncRNA from 7 species